rnacentral:tRNA from 1 species
GAGGGUACAGCUCAGUGGUAGAGCGCGUGCUUAGCAUGCACGAGGUCCUGGGUUCAAUCCCCAGUACCUCCU